AUUUUUAGGGAGGGAUAUAACUCAGCGGUAGAGUAUCACCUUGACAUGGUGGAAGUCAUCAGUUCGAGCCUGAUUAUCCCUAGCUAG
rnacentral:tRNA from 2 species